UACGAAGGGGGCUAGCGUUGUUCGGAAUUACUGGGCGUAAAGGGCGCGUAGGCGGUUCUUUAAGUCAGGAGUGAAAGCCCUGGGCUCAACCCGGGAAUUGCUCUUGAAACUAAGGAACUCGAGUGUAGGAGAGGUGAGUGGAAUUCCCAGUGUAGAGGUAAAAUUCGUAGAUAUUGGGAGGAACACCGGUGGCGAAGGCGGCUCACUGGCCUAUUACUGACGCUGAGGCGCGAAAGCGUGGGGAGCAAACAGG
rnacentral:rRNA from 1 species